AGGAAGGCUGAAUAAGCGCGGUUGGGCUUCUAACUCGACUGGGGGUGAGGAAUACAUCCAUUCCUU
rnacentral:tRNA from 1 species